ensembl:lncRNA
GUCAAGCACAACAGGCACAAUCAUCAGUUUAACGGUCAAGUUACGUAACAGAAGAUAAGAAUUAGCAGUCUGGGAUGGAUUCCAUUUGCUUUAAAGUUGACAGCUCUUUUACUUUCUUUUCAGUGUCUUUCCGAGGGGAAGAUGCUGUUUUUCCUGUAAACACUGUUCAUUAAGCUGAUGCCUGUCUCAUUCUGCACCUACUGGACACUCUACAGUUCCAGAAUGUACUGUUCACAGAUGUCUCUGAGCUCAUCAAGUGUUUCUGUGCUUUAUUUGGUAUUUUGGAGUCUCAAUCAUCCCUCAUGCUAUAGCAACAGCAACAUCUAGCAAGCUUCUAACGUGCUGGAGGUUAAUUUAGUGUGUCUUUGUGGUAUCUUCUGAGGCUUUUUUGUUUGUUGUGAUCCUUUAGUCCUUUGCCUGGGACUUGCAACAUUGGUUCUCAGGUCAAACACUUCUCUAUAGUUUCACUUUCCUUUGUGACUACAGCUUAGAUCAACAUUCUUGUACAGUUCAUCUUACAUAAGGAUAUAAGAGCAGAUGAAGUAGGUCAUAGCAAAGAUCUAUAUAGCUCGAUAUCUCUCAGGAGUGACAAGCAAUGGACAUUACUGGAAACUGGGAGAUCGAGACAGUUGUGACUUCUGUGCCAGCUAUGCUGAAACAUAGGAAUUGAACUGCUUCACGUCAGGAUAAGACCAAGAACAUGUCAGCUCCCAUCAGACUCUGAGAAAGCUCUAGACACUUUGGAAAGCUUUUUGGCUGAGCAACAGCCGUUGUUCACACUGGGUAGGCUCCUGAUAGCAGUGGCUGUGGAUAGGAAAGGAAGCAGAACCUCAGAGGAGGCCGUGUGCCAGCAGAGACCUGGUCGAUGUUCAGGUGAUGUCCAGGCAGCAACAGUGAUAUUGAAUGGGACAGAAUCAUGGAAUCAUUUGAGUUGAAAGGGACCCUUAAAAGUCAUCUAGACCAAGACCCUGGCAACGAACAGGGAUGUUUACUGCUAGAUCAGGUUGCUCAGAGCCCUGUCUAGCCUGUAAGCGGCUGCUGUAGCCUCAGUGUCCACUGCUGUCCCCAGUGCCUGCAGCACCUUCUCCCUGGGAAGUAAUGGGAAACGCUGUGGGAUUUGUGUCUCCCAUAACCUGGGCAGCAGGUGAAAAAUGCCAGUGGCACGAGCUUUGCACAGAGAUUUCCUCACUGCAGAGGGAUGCAGAUAGCUCUGGUGUUUAUCGACCAGUGCUUUGGGCCUGAACACUUGGUUUUCACCUCAGAUUCUCCAUUUGGAAACCUCAAAUCGUUCUCACCCCUUUACACACGAGGGUUGGAGGAGGUGUGGGUGUACCAAUCACCGAGCCCCAGUUGCCAGGGACGAGCAUCGCCCUUUACGGCAGAACGCGAGCGGGCAUGUGAUCCAUCACAUACAUACAACCACACACGUAGACACAACGGUAAUGACAGCGCGCAGCGUAACCGACGCCUCCAGCGGCGGCAGCAGCCGUAGCCUCGGGCCGCUGCCCGCCCCGCAUAG